rnacentral:rRNA from 1 species
AAGCGGUUUCAAUGAAGUUUUCGGAUGGAUUUGAAAUUGACUUAGCGGCGGACGGGUGAGUAACGCGUGGGUAACCUGCCUUACACUGGGGGAUAACAGUUAGAAAUGACUGCUAAUACCGCAUAAGCGCACAGGGCCGCAUGGUCUGGUGUGAAAAACUCCGGUGGUGUAAGAUGGACCCGCGUCUGAUUAGGUAGUUGGUGGGGUAACGGCCCACCAAGCCGACGAUCAGUAGCCGACCUGAGAGGGUGACCGGCCACAUUGGGACUGAGACACGGCCCAAACUCCUACGGGAGGCAGCAGUGGGGAAUAUUGGACAAUGGGCGAAAGCCUGAUCCAGCGACGCCGCGUGAGUGAAGAAGUAUUUCGGUAUGUAAAGCUCUAUCAGCAGGGAAGAAAAUGACGGUACCUGACUAAGAAGCCCCGGCUAACUACGUGCCAGCAGCCGCGGUAAUACGUAGGGGGCAAGCGUUAUCCGGAUUUACUGGGUGUAUAGGGAGCGUAGACGGUUAAGCAAGUCUGAAAGUGAAAGCCCGGGGCUCAACCCCGGUACUGCUUUGGAA